rnacentral:rRNA from 1 species
GAUAACUUCUAUUAUAAUCCUUUAUCAAUACUGAGUAAUUCUAUACUAUUAUAGAAUAUUUUAUGUUAAAACUAGUAACAAGAAAAGACUUUCUCUUUAAUGCAACUAUAAAUCAGAAAGGACAAGCCACUGAUAUUUAACAUCAUUAAACCGAAAGUAGAAACUCACCAAGAAAACCCUACUCUCAUUUAUGUUAACCUAACACAAGAGCAUUACAAGAAAGAUUAAAAGAAAAAGAAGGAACUCGGCAAAUAUUAACCUCGCCUGUUUACCAAAAACAUCGCCUCUUGAAUCCUAUAAGAGGUCCAGCCUGCCCAGUGACUUUGUUCAACGGCCGCGGUAUCCUAACCGUGCAAAGGGGGG